CWGSGGSGGGCUAUMAUGCAGUCGAGCGAUGGAUUAAGAGCUUGCUCUUAUGAAGUUAGCGGCGGACGGGUGAGUAACACGUGGGUAACCUGCCCAUAAGACUGGGAUAACUCCGGGAAACCGGGGCUAAUACCGGAUAAYAUUUUGAACUGCAUGGUUCGAAAUUGAAAGGCGGCUUCGGCUGUCACUUAUGGAUGGACCCGCGUCGCAUUAGCUAGUUGGUGAGGUAACGGCUCACCAAGGCAACGAUGCGUAGCCGACCUGAGAGGGUGAUCGGCCACACUGGGACUGAGACACGGCCCAGACUCCUACGGGAGGCAGCAGUAGGGAAUCUUCCGCAAUGGACGAAAGUCUGACGGAGCAACGCCGCGUGAGUGAUGAAGGCUUUCGGGUCGUAAAACUCUGUUGUUAGGGAAGAACAAGUGCUAGUUGAAUAAGCUGGCACCUUGACGGUACCUAACCAGAAAGCCACGGCUAACUACGUGCCAGCAGCCGCGGUAAUACGUAGGUGGCAAGCGUUAUCCGGAAUUAUUGGGCGUAAAGCGCGCGCAGGUGGUUUCUUAAGUCUGAUGUGAAAGCCCACGGCUCAACCGUGGAGGGUCAUUGGAAACUGGGAGACUUGAGUGCAGAAGAGGAAAGUGGAAUUCCAUGUGUAGCGGUGAAAUGCGUAGAGAUAUGGAGGAACACCAGUGGCGAAAGCGACUUUCUGGUCUGUAACUGACACUGAGCGCGAAAGCGUGGGGAGCAAACAGAUUAGAUACCCUGGUAGUCCACGCCGUAACGAUGAGUGCUAAGUGUUAGAGGGUUUCCGCCCUUUAGUGCUGAGUACGCAUUAGCACUCCGCCUGGGGAGUACGCGCAGCUGAACUCAAGAAUUGACGGCCCGCACAGCGUGAGCAUGUGAUUAUUCGAGCACGCGAGACUUCACAGUCUGAMCUCUCUGGAAAUCCCUAGAGAAGUUACCGC
rnacentral:rRNA from 1 species